rfam:Triticum urartu cultivar G1812 contig13507, whole genome shotgun sequence.
UAGUUACUCCCUCCGUUCCGAAUUAUUCGUCAUAGAAAUGAAUGUAUCUAGAUGUAUUUUAGUUAUAGAUACAUUCACUUUUGCGACGAGUAAUUUGAAACGAAGGAAGUGGAUA